rnacentral:rRNA from 1 species
UACGUAGGGGGCAAGCGUUGUCCGGAAUUAUUGGGCGUAAAGAGCGUGUAGGCGGUCCGGUAAGUCAGCUGUGAAAGUCAAGGGCUCAACCCUUGAAAGCCGGUUGAUACUGUCGGGCUAGAGUCCGGAAGAGGCGAGUGGAAUUCCCGGUGUAGCGGUGAAAUGCGCAGAUAUCGGGAGGAACACCAAUGGCGAAGGCAGCUCGCUGGAACGUAACUGACGCUGAGGAGCGAAAGCGUGGGUAGCAAACAGG